GGAUUCUUCAGUUUUGUUUUUUUUUUUGGCCAAAAUUCAUUUCGUUUGUUUUCAAUAUAAAAGUGAUCGGUGGAAAAUUCAUAAGUGUCUCAAAAGUCAGAAAAUUUCAAAAUAUAUAUACAUACAUAAGAAAUAAGCUAAAAAUUAGACACAAAAUAAAAAACAAAAAACAAAAAUUAUCAACAAAAAAUCAAUACAACAGAAAAGCAACAAAAAGAUAUAUUUUAAAUGUUCGUAUACAUCAAAAAACACUAACAAACAACUAUUUGCUAAGCCCAGCCUGCAGCAAGAGCAACAAAAUUCAUUAAAACUACAAACCCGCGUGGCAGCAACAACAAGACAAGCCUGCAAUAGAAACAUAGAAAUUUAGUUACUUCGAGCGCCCUUCCAACAGUAAUCUGUAAAAAGCUACAACAACUAAAUAUUGCAAAAAAGUCACAAAACGUAAAAUAUAAACAAGCAGCAGUAAGUGAAAUAAGCAAAUAAGUUACAUGAAAAAUUGAAAGACAUCAAAAAAAAAAACACAAAAAAAGUUCUCAAGUGCAAUAUUUGUUGAAAGCAAAGCAAAAAUAUAUUGUAAUACAUAACAAAAAACACAUUAAAAUUAAUUCGUUUUAUAUAUAAUUAAGUCUACGCGAUUCUAUGCAGAAUUGCCAAUUGUUAAAUUAUAUCUGAAACCACAAAACGUUAUAAAUCAAUAAAUUCCUGUUAUUGUGAUUAUAAAUAAACCAAUAAAUUUACAAAAUAAAAGUUAAACAAAUUAAAUGUAAGAAAAAACAGCAAACAAAAAAACCAAAAUACAAAAAAAAUAAAAACCAGCAUUAAACGCUUAAACUGUGAGCAGAGCCCGCAAGUAAAGCAGAUUACAAUUAACAUAAAACACAAAAGCUGUGAGUGAGAACCGUGAACAACCAAAAAAAGUUAAAAAAGUUAAAAAAGUUGAAAUUCAAAUUAAUUUUGGCGACGAACCUCUGACUACUGCAUUGCUUGUGCGCAACAACAGUGAUAUAUUUGGCUCGAUAUACCUGUUCCAAGCCAAAAAAAAAGUGCAUUGUUGCGCUGUGUGUGUGUUUUUUGUUGUUUUUAUUUUCCCCCGUUAAAAUUUGUAUGAAAAAAUGAGUGACCGGGAGCGAUCGUCCCCAACACUGAUCGAAACUGGUUUAAAAAAUCUAAUCGGUGGCCGAGAUGGGAAUUAUCCACUAAUCAGCGGAAUAAAUGG